rnacentral:rRNA from 1 species
GGAGUCUGGGCCGUAUCUCAGUCCCAAUGUGGCCGUUCAACCUCUCAGUCCGGCUACUGAUCGUCGCCUUGGUGGGCCGUUACCUCACCAACCAGCUAAUCAGACGCGAGGCCAUCUCAGAGCGAUAAAUCUUUGGCACAAAAGGGAUGUCCCCUCCGUGCAUCAUGCGGUAUUAGCAGCCGUUUCCAGCUGUUGUCCCCCUCUCCAAGGCAGGUUCCUCACGCGUUACUCACCCGUCCGCCACUUUCCUCCGGUUCCGUUGUCCGAAAACUCCUUCCCCGGAUUCUCGUUCGACUUGCAUGUGUUAAGCACGCCGCCAGCGUUCGUCCUCGAGCCAGGAUCAAACUACU